rnacentral:rRNA from 1 species
AAUAAGCACCGGCUAACUCUGUGCCAGCAGCCGCGGUAAUACAGAGGGUGCCAGCGUUAAUCGGAUUUACUGGGCGUAAAGCGCGCGUAGGUGGCCAAUUAAGUCAGAAUGUGAAAUCCCCGAGCUUAACUUAGGGAAUUGCAUUCGAUACUGGUUGGCUAGAGUAUGGGAGAGGAUGGUAGAAUUCCAGGUGUAGCGGUGAAAUGCGUAGAGAUCUGGAGGAUUACCGAUGGCGAAGGCAGCCAUCUGGCCUAAUACUGACACUGAGGUGCGAAAGCAUGGGGAGCAAACAGGAUUAGAUACCCUGGUAGUCCAUGCCGUAAACGAUGUCUACUAGCCGUUGGGGCCUUUGAGGCUUUAGUGGCGCAGCUAACGCGAUAAGUAGACCGCCUGGGGAGUACGGUCGCAAGACUAAAACUCAAAUGAAUUGACGGGGGCCCGCACAAGCGGUGGAGCAUGUGGUUUAAUUCGAUGCAACGCGAAGANCCUUACCUGGUCUNGACAUAGUAAGAACUUUCCAGAGAUGGAUGGUGCCUUCGGAACUUACAUACAGGUGCUGCAUGNCUGUCGUCAGCUCGUGUCGUGAGAUGGUGGGGUUAAGUCCGC